rnacentral:rRNA from 1 species
GAUGAACGCUGGCGGCGUGCCUAAUACAUGCAAGUCGAGCGAACAGGCGAGGAGCUUGCUCCUCUGACGUUAGCGGCGGACGGGUGAGUAACACGUGGAUAACCUACCUAUAAGACUGGGAUAACUUCGGGAAACCGGAGCUAAUACCGGAUAACAUGUUGAACCGCAUGGUUCAACAGUGAAAGACGGUCUUGCUGUCACUUAUAUAUGGAUCCGCGCCGCAUUAGCUAGUUGGUAAGGUAACGGCUUACCAAGGCAACGAUGCGUAGCCGACCUGAGAGGGUGAGCGGCCACACUGGAACUGAGACACGGUCCAGACUCCGACGGGAGGCAGCAGUAGGGAAUCGUCCGCAAUGGGCGAAAGCCUGACGGAGCAACGCCGCGUGAGUGAAGAAGGUCUUCGGAUCGUAAAACUCUGUUAUUAGGGAAGAACAAAUGUGUAAGUAACUAUGCACGUCUUGACGGUACCUAAUCAGAAAGCCACGGCUAACUACGUG